CCUACGGGAGGCCGCAGUGGGGAAUAUUGCACAAUGGGGGAAACCCUGAUGCAGCGACGCCGCGUGAGUGAAGAAGUAUUUCGGUAUGUACAGCUCUAUCAGCAGGGAAGAAAAUGACGGUACCUGAUUAAGAAGCCCCGGCUAACUACGUGCCAGCAGCCGCGGUAAUACGUAGGGGGCAAGCGUUAUCCGGCUUUACUGGGUGUAAAGGGAGCGUAGACGGCAGCGCAAGUCUGAAGUGAAGUGCCGGGGCUUACCCCCGGAACUGCUUUUGAAACUGUGCAGCUAGAGUGCAGGAGAGGUAAGCGGAAUUCCCAGUGGAGCGGUGAAAUGCGUAGAUAAUAGGAGGAACACCAGUGGCGAAGGCGGCUUACUGGACUGUAACUGACGUUGAGGCUCGAAAGCGUGGGGAGCAAACAGGAUUAGAUACCCCUGUAGUA
rnacentral:rRNA from 1 species